rnacentral:rRNA from 1 species
UACGGAGGGUGCGAGCGUUGUCCGGAAUCACUGGGCGUAAAGGGCGCGUAGGUGGCGGAGCAAGUCAACGGUGAAAGCUCGACGCUCAACGUCGAGUCGGCCGUCGAGACUGCUUUGCUCGAGCACUGUAGAGGCAGAUGGAAUUCCGGGUGUAGCGGUGGAAUGCGUAGAGAUCCGGAAGAACGACCGGUGGCGAAGGCGGUCUGCUGGGCAGUUGCUGAC